UACGUAGGGUGCAAGCGUUAAUCGGAAUUACUGGGCGUAAAGCGCGCGCAGGUGGUGCGGUAAGUCUGUCGUGAAAUCUCCUGGCUCAACUGGGAGGGUGCGGUGGAGACUGCCGGACUGGAGGCACUCAGAGGCCGGUGGAAUUCCCGGUGUAGUGGUGAAAUGCGUAGAGAUCGGGAGGAACACCAGUGGCGAAGGCGGCCG
rnacentral:rRNA from 1 species